GAUGAAGAACGCAGCGAAAUGCGAUAAGUAAUGUGAAUUGCAGAAUUCAGUGAAUCAUCGAAUCUUUGAACGCACCUUGCACUCCUUGGUAUUCCGAGGAGUACGCCUGUUCGAGUGUUAUGAAGCUCUCAAAACGCAAUUGGCUUAAAACCUGAUUGUUGUUUUGGAUUUGAACUUUGCCGUGUUAUAACGGCUGGUUUUAAAAGUAUUAGCUGGUACUAGAACGAAUUGGUUCUACUCAACGUGAUAAUUAUCUGAUCGUUGAGGACAUUCCUUUCACGAGGAAUGGCCAUAGUAAAUUCAAUGGACUGCUUCUAAUCUGGCUUUAAUUCUUUAUUGGAUUAACCACUUUUCAAAUCUGACCCCGAAUCAGGUGGGACUACCCGCUGAACUUAAGCAUAUCAAUAAGCGGAGGA
rnacentral:misc_RNA from 1 species